rnacentral:rRNA from 1 species
CCCGAACACUACUUGAUCUUAUCCGAGCGAGCCGUCCGACGGCGCCGCGGCAGCCGGAGUUUUCUCUCCCAUCGGCCGCGCCGCCACCGUGGUCCACCAUGGGCUUGCGGGAAGGUGGCGCGCGACGUUUGGGUUGAGAGACGCGGCAUCCGCGGGAGCUGCCGGCGGCGAGCGAUGACGACUGCCCGCGGUCGGAGCGCGCGCGAUGAUGGCCGCGCGGGCUCACCCAACAAACAAAACAAUCUCCAUUACUUUCUUGCUUACUUGGAAGGGUUUUCAUCUUUUUUUUGAUCGAUUUCUUUUUAUUCGUUUUUCUUGUACUUGCUAUUUGUAUUCCUGAGUAAAUUGUUCUCCGUUUCUUGGGUUCUAACCAAGUUUCUUCUAAGAAGAUAUUUUUAGUGGGUACAGUAGUAUGUUUUUUGUCGAGUAGGAUAUUUUUCAUGCGGAAGUGCAUAUCAAGUAGUAUGGGUUUUUUUUUUUUGCGGAUUCGUGUUUAAUCUCUUGUCCAAUACUACAUAUAUCAACAUCCAUAAUAGUAGAAAGUAAUAUGCUAUUAUGGAUGUUGAUUUGCUGAAAUUUCACAGAAUUCUGAUUAUUAUUAUUCUGCAGGUGUCUUUGAUCCCUCUCUUCGAAGCGGGAAGGGUGCCAGUUUUCCUGUUUGAGACGAAUACAUGACCCGGAGACUGUGAUAGUAUAGUUUACCUAUAAUAAGGUGUCUAAUUUCUUUAGGAGCUGCGCGCUGUAAUCUUUCUCUGAUUGGUUGACGGCUGCCAUGCAGAUUCAGCCUGUUAGUGGAGGAUCCUGUUGUAAUAGUAUGAAUUGUAUUUGUAUGUGACAAAGAUUCAAAGAAAUGCCGUUGUAAUAUGUUUUGCGAGCCC